AAAGAAAGUGUGGAGCACGUCAGCUGCCAUUACCAAAAGAUAUCAUAUCGUGUUAGGAAAGAUGUAACAGGAAUAAGGAACCCUUUCUAGUAAGAAAAUUGAGAAUUAAGCAUUUUAAGGAAGUACUCGAUAUUCUGGUUGGGAGGCGGAACAGAAACGAUGAAGGGGGAAGACCUAGUUACAUCAAGUUGUAAGGAACCAAUGAUAAAUUAGGAAAAUAGAAAAAUUAAUAUGCAAGGGUAAAAAUGGUAAGUUGUACGAAGAUAGUUUUGUCUUCUCUAUCAUAAUAAAUUAGGAGUCGAAGAUAUCAAAUCGUGUUCGAAAAUAUGUGCCAGGAAUCAGGAACCCUUUCUAGUAAGAAAAUUGAGGAUUAAGCAUAUCUUAAGCGAGUACUCAAUAUUCUGGUUGGGAGGGGAAAGACAAGUGACGAAUGGGGGAGACCCAGUUACAUCAAGUUGCAAGGAACUAAGGAUAAUAUGCAAGGGUAAAAAUGGUAAGUUGUAUGAGGGUAGUUUUGUCUUUUCCAUCACAAUAAAUUAGGAGACGAAGAUAUCAUCAUAUUAGGAAAGAUGUGCCACGAAUAAGGAAUUCUUUCUAUUAAGAAAAUUGAGAUUUUAAGCAAGUACUCAAUAUUCUGGUUGGGAGGAGAAAGAGAAGCGACAAGGGGGGGAGACCCAGUUACAUCAAAUUGUAAGGAACCAAGGAUAUAUUAGGAAAAUAGAAAAAAUAAUAUGCAAGGGUAAAAAUGGUAAGUUGUACGAGGGUAGUUUUGCCUUUUCCAUCAUAAUAAAUUAGGAGACGAAGAUAUCAAAUCGUGCUAGGAAAGAUGUGUCAGGAAUAAGAUCCUUUCCUAGUAAGAAAAUUGAGAUUUUAAGCAAGUACUCAAUAUUUUGGUUGGGAGGAGAAAGAGAAGCGACGAAGGGGGAAGACCCAGUUACAUUAAGUUGUAGGAACCAAGGAUAAAUUAGGAAAAUAGAAAAAAUAAUAUGCAAGGGUAAAGAUGGUAAGUUGUAUGAGGUAGUUUUGUCUUCUCCAUCAUAAUAAAUUGGGAGAGGAAGAUAUCAAAAUGUGUUAGGGAAGAUGUGCCACGAAUAAGGAAUCCUUUCUAGUAAGAAAACCAACGAUUAAGCAUUUUAAGCAAGUACUUGAUAUUCUGGUUGGGAGGAGAAAGAGAAGCGACGAAAAAGCGGGGAGAACUAGUUACAUCAAGUGUUAAGGAACCAAGGAUAAAUUAGAAAAAUAGAAAAAGUAAUAUGCAAGGGUAAAAAUGGUAAGUUGCACAAGGGUAUAACAAAUUAGGAGAAGAAGAUCCGAGAUCAUCAUAUCCGGCAGUUACAAAUUCCUACUCUAUACCAUAUAUUUAAGCAUGUACUCAAGGAAUGAAGGAUAUGGAAAGUUAUUGAAGUUUGAAUAGAAUCUUUCUCUCAAAUCCCACCGAUUCUCAGCUUCUGUCUUUCUUUCCCUCUCUAUCUCUCUCUCUGGGCUUUCUUCCUCUUUCUUCCUAUUUCUUUCAUAAUCGAACCAUGUAUCAGGUUCGUGAUAUAAGUUGACUGCUCGCAGAGUUGGUCAAGCUAAGAGAAUCAUAUUUCACGGGUGAAAAAAUUGCCAUAUAAAAGAAAAAGUGAUUAUUGAGGAUAUACAGUAGCAUGUAACAAGGAUACAUAAAAAAAUUUAAAUAUGACUGAGAUAAAAUAAAUGAGAAGAAUGUUCACCAAAAUGCUUGUCCACAAAUGCAAGCCACAUGGUUACAGCCACCAUUCUUUUCCACAGGUUUGUGACACUUGGGACAAGGCUUUGUAUGAACAGUGAUCCAGUUAACUGUUUCAGAUUCAUCUUGGCACUUUUUUGACCAGAGCUCCCACAUCAAACAGGAACAAGGAGAAUGUGCUUCUGACAAACAACCGAAACAAAACUGUAAACCACAAGAGCAUUCUACCUCACAAAACUCAUCAUCCUCCACCCGAAUGGCAUUCCCACAAUGAGGAGUACUUGGACACCAUUUAACCAUUUUAUUAUCUUCAAUAUAUGACUCAAGAAGAAAACGAUCAAACUUCUCCACCAGAUUAGGAUGCCUCUUACUGACUAAAUUUCUGAUAACAGCUUCAUCACAAAUAGCAUUACAUUUGUGUGCCAUGCAUCUAAUCCUCUUACUCUGACCCUCAUUUAUCUUUAUAACAAAAUGUUCUGUCCAACCUAAAGCAAGAAAAACAAUGGAAGAAUAUAGAGAAAUAAAAUUAAUGGGUGUUCAGUAAUAUAUGGUAAGAAAAAAGGCAAAAGGCAGCACAAAUACAUAAAAAAUUAUAGUGCCUUAAUAGAAACAUAACGGAAAUAAUCAGGGUGCUCACAAUCAUUGCAAAAGCAAUGUCCACAAUCCAUUCUGGUCGACUGAUCAGCAGUCACGUCCUCAAUGCAUAUCUCACAUGUAAUCAUUGGUAAAAAAGCUAUGGACGAACCAGCAUCUUCAGGCUCAAUCACAGUAACACCUGCUGCAGCGAACAAGUUUGGUCUCCCGUUCUCCACAAACACUGCAAACAAUUUCUCCACAUCCCAGCGAUAGUGGAUAAGUAAUGUCCGGGCAUGUUGUUCUUUCACUGAGAGCAACUCCAUCACUCGACGUAAAUCAUCCCUCUAGAUUAAUGCACCAAAACUCAAACAAUCAGGUUUAGCAAACACAAAAUUAUAUUUAAAAACUCAACUCAGAUGAAUCCUCUCUGUCCCUUUACCUGCGCAGCCAAAAGGGAUUCUUUAGUAAUAACCUGAAAAAUCACAGAACCAAUUUCUAAUUAGGGCAAAAAGGAACCGAAAGGAAAACCUGGGAAAUUCGUACCCUACUUCACUUGAUCAAUACAAAUCGGGUAAAACCAACAUAAUUCCAUAACAUGAAGGAAGCUCGAUAACUUAUCAGAGAAAACAAAACCAACACCCCCAUUAAAUUCGACCAAUUUGAGCUCUAAACUUGCAACAUUGAAACAACCGAAAACAAAACAGAGCCCCAAAAAUAAACACAAUUGCAAAAAGAAAGGGAAAGAAAAAAGGACGCAGAGGUCCGCUAAAGCUCACACAUUCACAUUUCGUCAACCGAUAAACUUCACACCCCAACCAAAAAGGAAAGUUCUUUCGCAUUUAUAACCACAACUCGGCGUCAAAUUAACCAGGAAGAAAACUCAUUAGAAGAUUACGGAUACCAAUUUCCCCACACUCCAAACAGCAAUAGAAGCCAGUAAUUCAAACAAGACCCGACGAACACCUGAAAAUGAAUCACUGAGUCCCAGCUAAAAAAUUACCCCCCAAACAUGAACCUGAACCGUUGCAGAAAAAAGAAAUAACAAAACAUUCAGAAAAACAAGUCCACCUUGGUACUAGCUCCCUUGGGCGGGGCCCACUGAACGUCUUCGGCUUCUUCGUUGUCGAGCCCGUCAUCAUCGAGCGAGUCUUGAUCGUCGGAGGAGGGAUAGUAAUCCUCCUCGGCGCUAUUACAAUCACCCAUCGAUCCCCUUCCCUCGUCCAAGAAAACCUGAAGCACUAUAGACGGNNNNNNNNNNNNNNNNNNNNNNNNNNNNNNNNNNNNNNNNNNNNNNNNNNNNNNNNNNNNNNNNNNNNNNNNNNNNNNNNNNNNNNNNNNNNNNNNNNNNNNNNNNNNNNNNNNNNNNNNNNNNNNNNNNNNNNNNNNNNNNNNNNNNNNNNNNNNNNNNNNNNNNNNNNNNNNNNNNNNNNNNNNNNNNNNNNNNNNNNNNNNNNNNNNNNNNNNNAAAAAAUUGCCAUAUAAAAGAAAAAGUGAUUAUUGAGGAUAUACAGUAGCAUGUAACAAGGAUACAUAAAAAAAUUUAAAUAUGACUGAGAUAAAAUAAAUGAGAAGAAUGUUCACCAAAAUGCUUGUCCACAAAUGCAAGCCACAUGGUUACAGCCACCAUUCUUUUCCACAGGUUUGUGACACUUGGGACAAGGCUUUGUAUGAACAGUGAUCCAGUUAACUGUUUCAGAUUCAUCUUGGCACUUUUUUGACCAGAGCUCCCACAUCAAACAGGAACAAGGAGAAUGUGCUUCUGACAAACAACCGAAACAAAACUGUAAACCACAAGAGCAUUCUACCUCACAAAACUCAUCAUCCUCCACCCGAAUGGCAUUCCCACAAUGAGGAGUACUUGGACACCAUUUAACCAUUUUAUUAUCUUCAAUAUAUGACUCAAGAAGAAAACGAUCAAACUUCUCCACCAGAUUAGGAUGCCUCUUACUGACUAAAUUUCUGAUAACAGCUUCAUCACAAAUAGCAUUACAUUUGUGUGCCAUGCAUCUAAUCCUCUUACUCUGACCCUCAUUUAUCUUUAUAACAAAAUGUUCUGUCCAACCUAAAGCAAGAAAAACAAUGGAAGAAUAUAGAGAAAUAAAAUUAAUGGGUGUUCAGUAAUAUAUGGUAAGAAAAAAGGCAAAAGGCAGCACAAAUACAUAAAAAAUUAUAGUGCCUUAAUAGAAACAUAACGGAAA
rnacentral:lncRNA from 1 species